GGGAGGAGACAGGCCCCCGACGCAGGACUGAGCAUGUGACGUCCAGGAAAGGAGGAGACGGUCCCUGACAGAGGCGGGAACACCAUCCAGGCAGCCCCCCAGAUCCUGCUGCACUGCCCAGGGAGAUAGGGACCAGCCACAGGACACGCAACCCACCCGGGUAUUCUUGCCUGGGAAACACCAUGGACAGAGGAGCCUGGUGGGCUACCGUCUGUGGGGUUGCAAAAGAAUUGGACGUGACUGAAUGAGCACACACAGACAUACUACCGCCACCAACCCCCCAACCCUGCCCCAUUUCCAGGGUGAAGACAGAAGGUAAAAGCCCAAGGUGGUGGUUCUCAACACUGCCCAGUCUGGGAGCUCUGCCUCUCAAGGGCCAGUAAACAAGCCAUUGUGGGAAGCUUGGUCCGUGGAGGCCACUGGGGCUGCUGGGGGUGUGGAGUACUUGGGUGGGUAACGAAUGAAGAGCCGAUCCUCCUCUUUCUUCACCCAACGCAGGAGUUUGGUCACUGCGAGGAUGGCACCUGCCUUGGUCACCAGGGGGCUGAGGCAGGUAUACAGCUCAAAUUUGGAGGUCACCUGCGGGGUUGAGAGGAGAGAUAGUCAGUUGGUCCUGGGCUGCCCAAGCUCAGUGCUGUCCAUCCUACCCUAGCCCCAUACCUGCCUCCUGUUUGGAAAAUGCACCUGGUAGCAGCUCCAACCUGGUCACUGGGCUAAAGCAGGCUGGGUAUAAUAUGAGGAUUAAUUCAACUUAAUCUUCACACCAACCUGAGAGGCUUAACCGGAUCCGUCACCAGCACCGUUCCACAGCCCCUCUUCAUUCUCCCCCUCGCUCCUGCUCCAGCCACUCUAGCCCCUGCCUGCUGUCCCUCAGACACAGCCAGGCUCACCUCGCCUCACGGCACUUGCACAGUCCUUUCCCUCUGCCAAGCGUGCUGUUCCUCGAGAUACCCACAUGCCCUGUGACCUCCCCUUGCACUUAAAUGGCAUUUCCUGACCACCCGAUUUAAAAUCCUGGGACCACCCGAUCCUGACGUUGAAAUACCAUCCUCUACUAAAAGGUUCAAGGACCCCCUGGACAGAUGGUGGAUUUCAGGACAGGCACAGAGAAAGCACAAAAUAAGCUUGGGCUAUCUUAGGUCAGAAAGUAAGAAGUACUUAAGCAGUGAUACAGAUGUGUCAGAAAGACACCGGAGGAGGACUUCGUGGCUGUCCAGUGGUUCAUCCUCCACCACAGGGAACAAAGAUCCCACAUGCCCACAUAGAGCAGU